rnacentral:rRNA from 1 species
AACUUUCAACGGUGGAUAUCUUGGUUCCCGUGACGAUGAAGAACGCAGCGAAAUGCGAUACGUAAUGCGAAUUGCAGAACCGCGAGUCAACAGAUCUUUGAAAGCAAGUGGUGGAGGUGUAAAAACCUUCAUGUUUGUAUUAGUGUGG